rfam:Oryza sativa Japonica Group DNA, chromosome 11, cultivar: Nipponbare, complete sequence.
AAAGACUUCAUUUUUCAGUUUUUGGAUACAACGUUUUGACUCUGUCUUUUUUAAAAAUACUCUAUGAUUAGUAUUUUUAUUGUUAUUGAAUGAUAAAACAUGAAUAGAACUUUAUACGUGACUAUUUUUUUUAUUUUCUCAUAAAAUUUUAAAAAAGGACGGACGGUUAAAUAUUGGACACAGAAACCUAAAAUUAGA